GAACACAAAAUGGCGACACGUGGUUAGCAUUCGUCGCCAACGAGAAAUUGGGGUCGGCCCGAAAGCUCUAGAAUGCACCCCUCUUCCUCCCCGGGGCCUUCCACCUCCGCGAGUUUUAUGACUUAAAAAAGCCCACAGGCUGGUCUGAAGAGGAAGACAAACAUAAAGAUGAAGUGCUUAAUUCAAGGUCACACAAUGUCGGGGAUGGACCUCCAGAUUUCCUUACUGGUGAGACGUGGUCUUGUAACACAGUGGUUAAGAAUGUGACUUUGGAGCCAGCCUGCUAGGGGCUGAAUUCUGACUCAGCCAUUUACUAACUGUGUGACCUUAGGUGGAGUCUCACUCUGUAGCCCAAGCUGGAGUGGCGUGAUCUCGACUCACUGCAACCUCCGCCUCCUGGGAUCAAGUGAUUCUCGUGCCUCAGCCUCCUGAGUAGCCGGGACUACAGGUCACAGAAUUUUCCACACUCCUUGACAGAGGUGCUUAACCCUUAUCCAUCAGCAUUCUCAGACAGCACCUCCGGUUAGGGACAGUAUCUGACCGUCCGACAUCCCUGCAGCCCCCAUGUGUCACACAGACUCAGCCUCAGGUAGAUGGUUUCCGUAGAUGGUGGCUUUCUUUGGACCCUUGACAUCAACCAGUUACUAUUUGGGGACCAGAUGUGCAGAGGUAAUGAAUACCAGGGAAUCAGGAAACCACUGGAUCAGUUCUUUGAGCCACAGAACAACACUCAUCCCAGCAGCUGGGAAGCUAUCUGCAAAAGUCCAUCUGCAGAAAGGGCUUCCUGGUCUUGCGUGUGGCUGGGCCAUUUCUCUGGAUGCAGGUUUUUCAUUAUACAGUCUUCUCAAAGAACCACCUGCUCUCAACACC
rnacentral:lncRNA from 10 species